CACUUCACUACAAUGAGAGAUGAGUACUCUUCCAUGUAAUAACUGCUUGUUGUUUUGGGGCGAUGCUAACGUUUGGACCGUGAGCGGAGGCGAGGUGAGGUAGAGGUAAAGCGACCUAGAGCCACAACGUUUUGGGAGGUGGAGGACACAGGGGACUGCGCACCGAUGGUGACUUCUGGGUCACCUGGAAGGAGGCCUCUGCCCUUUUGCUGGAGUUGUGUGCAUGAGCAGAGCGUGUGGAGGUGCCUGUGUACCCUGUGCAGAGAGGAAGGCAAUUGGGGAUGAGGCUGGGCUGGAGAAGGAGCAGAAAUAUGGCAGGUUGGGAUCCUGCCCCGCGUGGAGGGAAAUGAAUGCAGGUUCAGGGAGUGGAGCCAAGCAGUGCCCAUGGAGGUGGAAGCAGGAGGAAUUGAAUGCUGUGACGUGUGUUGGCGCCCAGUCCCUAACCCAAACCCAGUCCCGGAUUCAUUUGUGCACCCUUUACCUAACCCAAACCAGUACUCAUUGGCAAACCUGUUCCCUAACCCUAACCCUUUGCCUCACCUUAACCUGGACCCGGAUUAAUUUGUGGACCCAUUCCGUACACCGAACCGACACCGGACUCAUUUCUGAACCCAUUCCUUAACAGUAACCUGGUCCCAGAUUCAUUUAAGAACCCAUUUUGUAAUGCUAACUGGUUCCCUAACCAUAAUCCAGACCCAGACUCAUGUCUGGAGCUGUUCUCUAACUGUAACCCUUUGCCUGACCCUAACCCAAACCUGAGCUUAUUUCUAGACCCAUUCUCUAACCCUAACUGACGGCCCGAUCCAGUUGUGGAUCCAUUCCCUAACUAACAUGCACCCCAACCCUAACCAACACUAAGAUACAUACGUGGACCCAUUGUCUGACCCUAAAGCACACCUGGACCCGGAUUUGUUUGUGGACCCAUUCUGUACCCCUAGUACUUGGCCUAAGCAUAACUAGCCCUAGAUUCCUUUCUGAAUCUGUUCCCUAACCCUAGCACUUGGCCUAACCCUAACUGGCCCUGGAUUAAUUUGUGGACAUGUUCCCUAACCCUAACACUUGACGCAAGCCUAACAAACCCUGGAUUUGUUUAUGAGUCUGUUCCCUAACCCUGGCACUCAGCGUAACCCUAACUGGCCCCAGAUUCAGUUCUGCAUCUGUGUUGUAACCGUAGGAUUCGGUGUAACCGUAAGUGUACUCGAAUUCAUUUCAAUCUGUUCCCUAACCCUAGCCCUUUGCCUUGACUUGGAUUCAUUUGCGGACCUGUUCUGUCCCACUAACCUUCGGCCUAACCCUAACUGGCUCUGGACUUAUAUGUGGACCUGUUCUGUGCCCCUAGCUCUUCGCCUAACCCUAACUGGCCCCGAAUUAAUUUCUGAAUCUGUUUCCUAAUCCUAGCACUUGGCGUAACCCUAACUGGGCCUGAAUUAAUUUCUGAAACUGUUCCCUGACCCUAGCACUCGGCCUGACCCUAACUGGCCCCGGAUUCAUUUGUGGACCUGUUCCCUAAACGUAGCGCUUGGCCUAACCCUAAUGGGGCCUGGAUUGAUCUUGGAAUCCGUUCCCUAACCCUAGCACUUGGUAUAACCGUAACUGGCUCCGAAGUAAUUUCUGAAUCCGUUCCCUAACCCUAGCAUUUGGCGUAACCCUAGCUCGAUCUGGAUUAAUUUCUGAAUAUGUUCCCUAACUGUAGCACUCGGUGUAACCAUAACUGGGCCCAGAUUUGUUUCUGAAUGUGUUCACUAACCAUUGCACUCAUCGUAACGGUAACUAGACUUGGAUUUGUUUCUGAAUCUGUUGUCUACCCCUAGCACUUGGCCUAACCCUAACUGGCCCGAAAUUCAUUUCUGAAUCUGUUCCCUAACCCUAGCAAUUGGCCUAACCCUAAGUGGCCCCAAAUUCGUUUCUGAAUCCGUUCCCUAACCCUACCACUUGGCCUAACUCUAACGGGGUGCAGAUUCAUUUUUUAAUCCAUUCCCUAACACUUGGUGUAACCCUAACUCGAUCUGGAUUCAUUUCUGAAUAUGUUCCCUAACCCUAGCACUCGGUGUAACCGUAACCUGGCCCAGAUUCAUUUCUGACUCCAUUCCCUAACCCUAGCACUCGGCAUAACCCUAACUGGCCCUGGAUUCAUUUGUGAAUAUGUUGCCUAACCCUAGCACUUGGCCUAACACUAAAUGGACUCGGAUUCACUUGUGGACCCAUUCUGUCCCCCUAGCACUCAGCCUUAGCCUAACUGGCCCUGGAUGUAUUUGUGGCUCUGUUCUGUCUCCCUAGCACUUGGCCUAACCCUAACUGGCCUUGGAUUCAUUUCUGAAUCCGUGGCCUAACUGUAGCACUUGCCCUAACCCUAACUGGCCCCAGGUUCAUUUCUGAAUCCGUUCCCUAACCCCAGCACUCGGCGUAAGCCUAACUGGACUCGGAUUUAUUUGUGAAUCUGUUCCCUAUCUCUAGCACUCGAUGUAACCCUAACUGGGCCUGCAUUCAUUUCUGAAUAUGUUCCCUAACGCUAGUAGUCUGCGUAACCGUAACUGGCCCCGGAUUUGUUUGUGGACCCGUUCUGUCCCCGCUAGCACUCGGCGUAACCCCAACUGGGCCUGGAUUCAUUUCUGAAUCUGUUCCCCAACCCUACCACUCAGCGUAACCCUAACUGGCCCCGGAUUUGUUUCUGAAUCCAUUCCCCAACCCUAGCAUUUGGCGUAAGACUAACUGGAUGUGGAUUCCUUUGUGGACCUGUUCCGUAACCAUAGCACGCAGCGUAACCCUAAGUGGACCUGGAUUCAUUUGUGGACUUGUGCUGUCCCCCUAGGACUUGGUGCUGUUGGAGAAGAAAACCCCAGGCCUUAAUAUGUUUGUAAGGAGUGUUUAGUGGAAUGUUCCUUAACCACUGAGCAGACCUAUGUUGUCAAUAGGUCAACCCAUAAUUUUCCCAGGUUUGCAGUUUGCCGCAUUUGCAGGUUCUUUGGUCCAACUAGUUCUUUGUUCAACUUAGUAUAUCUUUUGUCAUGUGACCUGCAAUUGAAACGUAUAAAAGGUUUGCUUUGAUGGUAUGUGGGGGACAGGCUCAGUGCCUCCCUCCUGCAGCUGCUUGUAAAGAAAGGUCUCUGACAACUUUGUGAGUAAAGAACAGUGACGUUUGUUUUUUCCGCUAUUCUUGGUGCUGUGAGUCGGAUGGCAAUGCCUGGCUGUGAGUACCGAGAUCCUUGUGGACCGUUCCCCUCUGAAUCCCCAGUCACCAAAUCAUGGUCCAAGAAGCUUUACGUCAACCACCAGAUGUUCCCUGUCACAACCUCAAACCAGGUGAUUGGGUGUAUGUAAAGGUCCAUCAUCUGAAAAAUGUGCUUGAGCUGACAUGGAACGAACUGUUCCAGGUGUUUUGGACUACUAACACUGCUGUUUGUUGCCAAGGUCACUAGAUGUGGACUUGCACUGUAAAAAGGUAUCACCUCUAUUGGACCCUGAAACAGUUGAAUUGCAACCUGGGCUAAGACCUUUCUCUGAGGCCAAGGACAAAGAGAGUCAAGACCUCAGUCCGGCAAAUGAGGAGCAUCAGGGUGCAAGUGCUAGUAACCUCUCCCCUGAACCCAACACUUCAGCCUGGCCAGAUUCACCAGUUGGCGAUCGAAGAUAUCAUCUCUGACCCCAAUGAAUAAUAUCCAGACUUGAUACGUGUAUAUACCAGAUGCUUCUAGCGCUAUUGAGAACCCGGCCGAAAUUAUUGAGAAAGAAGCCGCUAAACUUCAUCAAACUGAUCAAUGGAGUGUUUGCGACUGGUUUGGCACAUUUGGGGCCAAAUUAUUUUAUAGUGCAAUCAUGGUCCUGGGGUUUAUUCUUUUUCUACAAGUGUUCCUCUUGUUGCUAUGGAAUUGGCACCUUAGUACAUCCCACCAAAGGUGCAACAGUUGUGUCUAAUGUGAUACUGGGUCAAUUGAGAUUAGUCUGUCAAUUGUUCUGAAGGGAGCAUUGAAAGAUACUCUAGCUAAGAACAAGUGUCACUGUGCCUCGCAGGAUGCAUAAAUCAGAAUGUUCUCACAUUGGCCCAUUUUGCAGUUUGUCAGCCAACACAUGGUUACAAAUCUUAUCAGUUGUACUAUAAGUACAAAAACGGGGCAAUGUAAAAGAAAACCCCAGGCCUUAAUAUGGUCUAAGAAGUGCUGUGUGGAAUUUUCCAUAACGACUGAGCAGACCUAUGAGGUUAGUGGGUCAACCCAUAAUUUUCCUGCGUUUCCAGGUUCUCGAUUCCAGCUAGUUCUCUGUUCUCCUUUAUUAUAUCGUUUGUCAAGUGAUAUGACAUUGAAACGUAUAAAAGGUUUGCUUUGAUUUUC